GCCGGCCCUGUAGUACGAUAUUUUUUAAAGCUAUUUCAAGGAACAUACAGAAGGGGUGUGAAUGAGACCGCCAUAGUGUGGCUUAACGCUGCUCCUG